CUUUUCUUCUUCCUUUCGAGAAACAUCUUCAAUUGUUUUCCUCAAUCAUCUUCCAUCCGAUUGAGCUUAAUUCCAGAUUUUAAUUUGCAAGAUUUCAUUCUUGAAUCAUACCUUCUAAUCAAAUUCACUCCAUCUACAAUCGAGAAACUCAUUACUGGCGCGCUACAAAAUCGGGAAAUGAGAGAAAAUUGAUAUAGUCGAAUCGAUUCCAAUUCUGUCUGUGUUGGGGUCGAUUAAUCCGAUAAUUGGCGAUUUCGGUUUUCACCCAUGAGUUUUAAACACUGAGAAAUCAAUUCGAUUGGGUUGGUGUAUUCUUCCCCAAGACCUCCACGCCAAAUCGAUUAAUAGGGGAAUAGUAAACGAUUUUAAGCUGUUAAAAGAGGAUGAUUCUUCCGGACAAGAAGACGUGAUUAUAUAUGUAAGCUUACAAUUCGUCUUUGUCAAGCAUUUUGUUUUCUCCACACAGCUAAAGUUUCUAACUUCUUAUUUUGUUCUGUGUUUUAUAUAUGAGAGCACUUAUCAUGCAUCCCGAAGGAGUGGAUGACAAAAUUGACAAUGAGCUAAAGUACUUGAAGAGAGAACAAUUUGGGAUUAGUAAUUGAUAUAUAAAUAUCUGAAACUUAUGUAGCUGUUGCUUCUUCACUGUAGCAUGGAUCAAAGUACCCUACAGAGACAGAAAAGGAUCCAGUUAUUGCCGCAUAAGGUUUGGUGAGAUAUUUUAUUUCAGUUGUAAACGGGUGAUCCAUCUUUAUUAUUCGGUUUUUUUCACCUGUACCCGUUUCAUUAAUUUCGGGUUAAUUUCUCUAAAUUGACCCGACCCAACUUUGAUUUUGUACUUCUUUUUUACGUAUAUAGAGAUGGACCUACGUUUUGGGGUGUAACCUAAAAUAUCGGGGAGGAAACUAUAACUAAUUAAAGGAAGAAGAAAAACUAACAGGAUUCACCUUUCACUGUUGUAACUCAAAAUUGGCACCUUUGACCGAUUGCAAUAUGUGAUUAAUCUUUUUA